AAUAAGUGCAGUUUUAUACUAUUCAUGUUUAACGUUUGACCGUUCGUCUUAUUUGAAAAUUUUUUAUGAUUAGUAUUUUUAUUAUGAUAAAAUAUGAAUAGUACUUUAUGUGUAACUAAAUAUUUUUAAAUUUUUCACAAAUUUUUCAAAUAAAAUGGACGGUCAAAUGUUGGACACGGAUAUCUAUGACUGCACUUAUU
rnacentral:pre_miRNA from 1 species